AGCUAGUCUUUUUGGAAACCACUCGGACCCUUUUUCUGUAGAGCGUGAGAUAGCCAGUGUUGGCCAGGCCACCAGCCAGCGCCCUCUGCAGAUGGCAGAAGGAGUCAACAACAACAGCGACACAAGUCAUAGCCGUCAUUAACAGCAGCCUGGAGGAACUGGCCUCUGACCAGGAGGAAAGACUAGUGUUCACCAUGAAGUGCUACCACAUGUAACACCCGAAACACCGCCUGCUGAAGAAAGACGUUCCUCAUGAAAUGAUUCAACACUGGGCUAGUGUGAACACUUCGCACUGUUUUUGCUGUUUUCAAAAAUAUCUAAAAGAUUUCUUACAAUUCGUCAAAUGUUUUGGUAAAUUCUGCUAUUUUGAUCCAUUGAUUGAUAUUGACAUACUAUCACCUUGUGACUUUGACUGUGUUUCAGUGUGUUUGAUUAAAGUAUGAUCAAAGUCUGAA